rnacentral:rRNA from 1 species
UACGUAAGGUCCAAGCGUUAUCCGGAAUUAUUGGGCGUAAAGCGUCCGCAGGUGGUUUGUUAAGUUGGUUAUGAAAUACUGAAGCUCAACUUCAGUGCUGUAAUCAAAACUGGCAAACUAGAGGAGUGGAGAGGUCUGUGGAAUUCUACAAGUAGGGGUAAAAUCCGUAGAUAUGUAGAGGAACACCAAAAGCGAAGGCAGCAGACUGGACAUUUCCUGACACUCAUGGACGAAAGCGUGGGGAGCGAAAGGG